CACGAGCUGCCGAGGCUGUGUCGUUCCUUGCACACGGGAGCCACGUCUGGGGGAUCAAAGUCGCCGCAACCCGGCGCGCGCCGCCACCCAGGGACAACAUGCGUGUCUGCGCGGGAAGCAGAACAGAAAGAGCAGCGACGUCCACCCCCGAGCCCCGCUAAGGGACGCAGGAACCCGGUGGCCCAACUCAGGGCUCGAAAGCACCGCCGGUCUCCAACCCAGCACACGCUGCGAGCGCCGCCAUCUUGCUUGUGACGUGCUCCUGGCGACUGGGUGAUUGAUGGAACUUCAGAACGGGAAGCCCUCCCUCGCAUGCGCAUUCACUCAGGGGCGUGGUGAGAAAUGAAUUAUGGCUUGGAAAAACCGAGCGUCGAGGGAGGGCGGACGGGCGGGGCAAUGCUCCCAGGGUUUCCCCGCGCCUUAUUGCUGCGGGGUUCGCUGGAGGGAAGCUGCUUGUUCCAGUUCCUGAGACAUUUGUUGUUUGAGGGGGAAUUUUUUUGAAACGGACGUUUCUGCGUGAAACUUAAGGUCAUCGUCUUCUCUCGCUCAGCAGUUUGUGUUCCCCUUCGCGGCCUUCGAAGUUCCGCUCUGCACAUUCAGUGAAGUUUGUAGAUAGAGAGGAAGACGCCAGACGGGCAAUCCGCUGACAUGCCGAUGUUUGUUUAUUCAUUUUAACGUAAUUUAUACCCUGCCUUUCUCCCCCGAAUUGGCUUACAUUGCCCUCCAUUUUAUCUUUACAACUCUGGGAGGAGUUAAUAUAAAAUGGAUCGCUAUCAAUUUUUUCCAAGAUGGGGAGCCAAGUCGCUAUAUACCUGGAGUAAGCCUGGUGAAGGAUCAAGUAUUCGAAGUUCGUCACUGGGCGGGAAAGUGACACUUUCAACUUGGUGUCUUGAAGCCGAGUGCAAAGAAAUGCACUUGCCCCGUAGAACAGCUUUCAUUGCAUCCCAAACUAUUUCGGUGGAGACCCCACACUUAGAAUUGUUUUCAAAAUAAAGAUUGAUCUCUUGUUCA